rnacentral:rRNA from 1 species
AUUGAACGCUGGCGGCAGGCCUAACACAUGCAAGUCGAGCGGAGCGGCGGACGGGUGAGUCAUGCCUAGGAAUCUGCCUGGUUGAGGGGGAUAACGCCCGGAUACGGGCGCUAAUACCGCAUAAAAUCAGAUGAGUCUAGGUCGGAGGAGCUAGUUGGUGGGGUAAAGGACUACCAAGGCGACGAUCCGUAACUGGUCUGAGAGGAGGACCAGCCACACUGGAACUGAGACACGGUCCAGACUCCGACGGUAGGCAGCAGUGGGAAAUAUUGCACAAUGGGAACAAGCCUGAUGGAGCCGUGGCGCGUGUGUGAAGAAGGCCUGCGGGUUGUAAAGGACUUUCAGCGGGGAGGCGUUGCCCGCAGAAGAAGCACCGGCUAACUCCGUGCGAGACGCCGCGGUAAUAC